AUUGAACGCUGGCGGCAGGCCUAACACAUGCAAGUCGAACGCGUCGCGCACGGGUGUAUUAUGUCGGGGACACUCCCCUAUGGAGGGGGAUACCUACUGGACACUGUAGAAAAUACCGCAUACCAUCAGCUGUGCCAUGAUGGGUUUGGCUUGUUGGUGGGGUAACGGCUCACCAAGGCGACGAUCCAUAGCGGGUCUGAGAGGAUGACCAGCCACACUGGAACUGAGACACGGUCCAGACUCCUACGGGAGGCAGCAGUGGGGAAUAUUGCACAAUGGGCGCAAGCCUGAUGCAGCCAUGCCGCGUGUAUGAAGAAGGCCUUCGGGUUGUAAAGUACUUUCAGCGGGGAGGCGUUACCCGCAGAAGAAGCACUGGCUAACUCCGUGCCAGCAGCCGCGGUAAUUC
rnacentral:rRNA from 1 species